rnacentral:rRNA from 1 species
GGGUUGUGAGGUUAAGCGACUAAGCGUACACGGUGGAUGCCCUGGCAGUCAGAGGCGAUGAAGGACGUGCUAAUCUGCGAUAAGCGUCGGUAAGGUGAUAUGAACCGUUAUAACCGGCGAUUUCCGAAUGGGGAAACCCAGUGUGAUUCGUCACACUAUCAUUAACUGAAUCCAUAGGUUAAUGAGGCGAACCGGGGGAACUGAAACAUCUAAGUACCCCGAGGAAAAGAAAUCAACCGAGAUUCCCCCAGUAGCGGCGAGCGAACGGGGAGGAGCCCAGAGCCUGAAUCAGUGUGUGUGUUAGUGGAAGCGUCUGGAAAGGCGCGCGAUACAGGGUGACAGCCCCGUACACAAAAAUGCACAUACUGUGAGCUCGAUGAGUAGGGCGGGACACGUGGUAUCCUGUCUGAAUAUGGGGGGACCAUCCUCCAAGGCUAAAUACUCCUGACUGACCGAUAGUGAACCAGUACCGUGAGGGAAAGGCGAAAAGAACCCCGGCGAGGGGAGUGAAAAAGAACCUGAAACCGUGUACGUACAAGCAGUGGGAGCCUCUUUAUGGGGUGACUGCGUACCUUUUGUAUAAUGGGUCAGCGACUUAUAUUCUGUAGCAAGGUUAACCGAAUAGGGGAGCCGAAGGGAAACCGAGUCUUAACUGGGCG